rnacentral:miRNA from 3 species
AGGCAUUGACUUCUCACUAGCU